rnacentral:tmRNA from 1 species
GGGGGCGACAUGGCUUCGACGUGGGUCGCGAAACCUUCGGGGCAUGCCGAGGUGCAGAUUUCCUCGUUAAUCCAGCUGUAACUUG